GAUGAAGAACGCAGCGAAAUGCGAUAAGUAAUGUGAAUUGCAGAAUUCAGUGAAUCAUCGAAUCUUUGAACGCACCUUGCGCUCCUUGGUAUUCCGAGGAGCAUGCCUGUUUGAGUGUCAUGAAAUUCUCAACCUUUUCAGCUUUCUUUGUUGAUCAGGCUUGGAUGUGGGAGUAUGCGGGCUUCUCAGAAGUCGGCUCUCCUGAAAUGCAUUAGCGGGACCUUUGUUGCCUGGCUUUGGUGUGAUAAUUAUCUACGCCAUUGUAGUCAAGCAGCUUAAAAUGAGGUUUCAGCUUCUAACCGUCUCCCCUGAGACAACUUUUUGACAAUUUGACCUCAAAUCAGGUAGGACUACCCGCUGAACUUCAGCAUAUCAAUAAGCGGAGGA
rnacentral:misc_RNA from 1 species